rnacentral:rRNA from 1 species
AACCCUUUGUGACUUAUACCUAUCUGUUGCCUCGGCGCAGGCCGGCCUCUUCACUGAGGCCCCCUGGAAACAGGGAGCAGCCCGCCGGCGGCCAACUAAACUCUUGUUUCUAUAGUGAAUCUCUGAGUAAAAAACAUAAAUGAAUCAAAACUUUCAACAACGGAUCUCUUGGUUCUGGCAUCGAUGAAGAACGCAGCGAAAUGCGAUAAGUAAUGUGAAUUGCAGAAUUCAGUGAAUCAUCGAAUCUUUGAACGCACAUUGCGCCCUCUGGUAUUCCGGAGGGCAUGCCUGUUCGAGCGUCAUUUCAACCCUCAAGCCUGGCUUGGUGAUGGGGCACUGCCUUCUAACGAGGGCAGGCCCUGAAAUCUAGUGGCGAGCUCGCUAGGACCCCGAGCGUAGUAGUUAUAUCUCGUUCUGGAAGGCCCUGGCGGUGCCCUGCCGUUAAACCCCCAACUUCUGAAAAUUUGACCUCGGAUCAGGUAGGAAUACCCGCUGAACUUAAGCAUAUCAAUAAGCGGAGGAAUCCGUAGUGGAACCUGCGGAGCGCCCCAGAAACCUUUGAGAACUUAUACUAUCUGUUGCUCGGCGCAGCCGGCCUCUUCACUGACGCCCC